GGGGGGGGGCGGCCUACCAUGCAAGUCGAGCGGAUGACGGGAGCUUGCUCCUUGAUUCAGCGGCGGACGGGUGAGUAAUGCCUAGGAAUCUGCCUGGUAGUGGGGGACAACGUUCCGAAAGGGGCGCUAAUACCGCAUACGUCCUACGGGAGAAAGUGGGGGAUCUUCGGACCUCACGCUAUCAGAUGAGCCUAGGUCGGAUUAGCUAGUUGGUGAGGUAAAGGCUCACCAAGGCGACGAUCCGUAACUGGUCUGAGAGGAUGAUCAGUCACACUGGAACUGAGACACGGUCCAGACUCCUACGGGAGGCAGCAGUGGGGAAUAUUGGACAAUGGGCGAAAGCCUGAUCCAGCCAUGCCGCGUGUGUGAAGAAGGUCUUCGGAUUGUAAAGCACUUUAAGUUGGGAGGAAGGGCAGUAAGUUAAUGCCCUGCUGUUUUGACGUUACCGACAGAAUAAG
rnacentral:rRNA from 1 species